rnacentral:rRNA from 1 species
GACGAACGCUGGCGGCGUGCUUAACACAUGCAAGUCGAACGGAAAGGCCCCUUUGGGGGUACUCGAGUGGCGAACGGGUGAGUAACACGUGAGUAACCUGCCCUUGACUUCGGGAUAACUUCAGGAAACUGGGGCUAAUACCGGAUAGGAAUCCUUGCUGCAUGGUGGGGGUUGGAAAGCUUCGGCGGUUUUGGAUGGACUCGCGGCUUAUCAGCUUGUUGGUGGGGUAGUGGCUUACCAAGGCUUUGACGGGUAGCCGGCCUGAGAGGGCGACCGGCCACAUUGGGACUGAGAUACGGCCCAGACGCCGACGGGAGGCAGCAGUGGGGAAUAUUGCACAAUGGGCAGAAGCCUGAUGCAGCAACGCCGCGGGCGGGAUGACGGCCUUCGGGUUGUAGACCGCUUUCAGCAGGGGCGAAGCUUGUGGUGACGGUACCUGCAGAAGAAGCACCGGCUAACUACGUG